UGGGGAAUAUUGCACAAUGGGCGCAAGCCUGAUGCAGCCAUGCCGCGUGUGUGAAGAAGGCCUUCGGGUGUAAAGCACUUUCAGCGAGGAGGAAGGUGGUGAGCUUAAUACGCUCAUCAAUUGACGUUACUCGCAGAAGAAGCACCGGCUAACUCCGUGCCAGCAAGCCGCGGUAAUACGGAGGGUGCAAGCGUUAAUCGGAAUUACUGGGCGUAAAGCGCACGCAGGCGGUUUGUUAAGUCAGAUGUGAAAUCCCCGGGCUCAACCUGGGAACUGCAUUUGAAACUGGCAAGCUAGAGUCUCGUAGAGGGGGGUAGAAUUCCAGGUGUAGCGGUGAAAUGCGUAGAGAUCUGGAGGAAUACCGGUGGCGAAGGCGCCCCCUGGACGAAGACUGACGCUCAGGUGCGAAAGCGGUGGGGAGCAAAACAGGAUUAGAUACCCCUGGUAGUCCACGCUGUAAACGAUGUCGAUUUUGGAGGGUUGUGCCCUUGAGGCGUGGCUUCCGG
rnacentral:rRNA from 1 species